rnacentral:lncRNA from 1 species
AUAUCAUCGAAGAAGCAAGCAGCCCAUUCAUUUACCAGUCCAAAAAUUUGAUUUGAUACAGAUUCAUUGAUCCUAUUUAAUCACCUCUUCCAGAGAUAAUAUAAUAUACAACCAAAAAAAAAAAAAAAAAAAAAAGGAAAAAAGAGAAUGAACAAUCACUACCUACUGCCUAUAGAAAUUCGAGAAGACAAAGUCCCAAUUGCACAAUUUAAAUCUCCAACUAGUCUCAAGAACAAAAUGCCUACGUACUUUGACUGAGAGAUAACAGAUCCCUAUUCUCUUCUAGUCGGUCCUUAUAGAUUUGGCCGAAGAAUGCUGGCAUUAACUUCAGAGAAACGAAGUAUUGAGAAGCCGUGAAAGUGAAAAUUUGCAGCAAAUGAUGCUAAUAUGAAUGGCAGCAGAAAGUCAAUGGUCAUUGAUAUGAGCACCAAUUGCAUUUGCUAAAAGGAAAGACAUUGCAAUAGCUUCUCGGUUCCUUGUAGAUCUAUUCAUAAAAAAUAAAAUUUGGUCAUUGUUAAAAGGAAACAAGGAAGAGGAAACUGAGAAAGAGAAGAUAAGAACCUUGUUAAGCUUAAUGAGCUCCCUCAAUAAUCCUGUACAGAAAACGCUUCCUCAACAAUCUUCAAAACAUUCAAAAACUUCCUUCCUAUCUUCUCAUCCAUUUCCAAUUAGAGUAAUCCGUCAAUAUCAUAUCUGAUACGACAUCCUCCUCCCUUGAUUUCAGAAGCUCCUUAACCCAACAGAUAUGAACCACCAGACGAGAUACUAUAGUAUAGAAUAAAAAGAGAGAAUAAUCCAGAGUGAAGAAUAGAUUAAUGGGUAGAGGCGUGAAUGGCAGCAUUUCAAUAUUUUGUAGUCCGAUUCUUCUGCAAGGAGCGACAACAAUGGAGAUGGAAGGCAGAGGGUGAAGGGUUCUAUUUUUCUUGUAAUCUGAAUAUCUGAUUUACCUUUUGG